UACAGAGGUCUCAAGCGUUGUUCGGAAUCACUGGGCUUACAGAGUUCGUAGGCGGUACGGAAAGUGGGGUGUGAAAGCCCUCGGCUCAACCGAGGAACUGCGCUCCAAACUACCGUGCUAGAGGAAGAUAGAGGUGAGCAGAACUGAUGGUGGAGCGGUGAAAUGCGUUGAUAUCAUCAGGAAUACCGGAGGCGAAGGCGGCUCUCUGGGACGGUACUGACGCUGAGACGCGAAAGCGUGGGGAGCGAACAGG
rnacentral:rRNA from 1 species